CAAUCAGCCCGCUCCAAUUUGGACCCACUUUGUCUUCCAGUCAGUGCUGGAUCAUUGUCGUUGCCACAUGUCGCGUUGAUGUCAUUUUCUACUUGUCAUUCCUACUGGUCGUGUGAAUGCAGCGUAGCGCGUCCGCGCGUGUGCCGUCUGACAGAAGAAUGACAAGAUGUUAUGAGCCGUGAGUCCUGUGGAAGAUGCAUCCAGCGAGGAGAGCGCCUCAAUUAUUUGGGGGUCAGCAGUCGUCUUAAGGGUGUGGUUGCACUUGGACUAUACAAACACAUGUAUGCUAUACACACACCUUCUAUGGGCCACACAAACUCAACAUUGACUUUGUUAUGCCUUUUAAGCUGCUUGUGCUCACAAAAACAUGGCAUCUUUUAAACCAGGGGUCGGGAACCUUCUUGGCUGAGAGAGCCAAGAAGCCAAAUAUUUUAAAAUGUAUUUCCCUAAGAGCCGUAUAAUAUUUUUUUUAACACUGAACACAACUAAACGCGUGCAUUUUUAAGUAAGACCAGCAUUUCCAGAGUAUAAUAGGUCUCCCACCCAAUCAGUGGACAAAUAAAAUAAAAAUCAAUCAAUCAAUGUUUAUUUAUAUAGCCCCAAAUCACAAAUGUCUCAAAGGGCUGCACAAAUCAUUACGACUACAACAUCCUCGGAAGAACCCACAAAAGGGCAAGGAAAACUCACACCCAGUGGGCAGGGAGAAUUCACAUCCAGUGGGACGCCAGUGACAAUGCUGACUAUGAGAAACCUUGGAGAGGACCUCAGAUGUGGGCAACCCCCCCCCCUCUAGGGGACCGAAAGCAAUGGAUGUCGAGCGGGUCUAACAUGAUACUGUGAAAGUUCAAUCCAUAGUGGCUCCAACACAGCCGCGAGAGUUCAGUUCAAGCGGAUCCAAGACAGCAGCGAGAGUCCCGUCCACAGGAAACCAUCUCAAGCGGAGGCGGAUCAGCAGCGUAGAGAUGUCCCCAACCGAUACAGGCGAGCGGUCCAUCCUGGGUCUCGACUCUGGACAGCCAGUACUUCAUCCAUGGUCAUCGGACCGGACCCCCUCCACAAGGGAGAGUGGGACAUAGGAGAAAAAGAAAAGAAACGGCAGAUCAACUGGUCUAAAAAGGGAGUCUAUUUAAAGGCUAGAGUAUACAGAUGAAUUUUAAGGUGAGACUUAAAUGCUUCUACUGAGGUGGCAUCUCG